AACGAACGUUAGCGGCGCGCUUAACACAUGCAAGUCGAGCGAGAAAGGGCUUCGGCCCCGGUACAGCGGCGCACGGGUGAGUAACACGUAGGUAAUCUACCCCCAGGUGGUGGAUAACCUUCCGAAAGGAGGGCUAAUACAGCAUGAGACCACGAACCCGAAAGGGAUUGAGGUCAAAGCCGGCCACUUCACGAAAGCUGGCGCCAGGGGAUGAGCCUGCGGCCCAUCAGCUAGUGUAGGAAUGCUACCAAGCGAAGACGGUAGCUGGUCUGAGAGGAUGAUCAGCCACACUGGAACUGAGACACGGUCCAGACUCCUACGGGAGGCAGCAGUGGGGAAUCUUGCGCAAAUGGGCGAAAAG
rnacentral:rRNA from 1 species